GUCGUCAGCUCGUGUCGUGAGAUGUUGGGUUAAGUCCCGCAACGAGCGCAACCCCUAUUGUUAGUUGCCAUCAUUCAGUUGGGCACUCUAGCGAGACUGCCGGUAAUAAACUGGAGAAGGUGGGGAUGACGUCAAAUCAUCAUGCCCCUUAUGACCUGGGCUACAAACGUGAUACAAUGGCUGAAACAAAGGGCAGCGAAGCAGUGAUGUGAAGCGAAACCCAAAAAAAGCAGUCUCAGUUCGGAUUGAAGUCUGCAACUCGACUUCAUGAAGUCGGAAUCGCUAGUAAUCGCGAAUCAGAACGUCGCGGUGAAUACGUUCUCGGGGUUU
rnacentral:rRNA from 1 species